UACGAAGGGGGCUAGCGUUGCUCGGAAUUACUGGGCGUAAAGGGCGCGUAGGCGGGUCGUUUAAGUUGGGGGUGGAAAGCCCAGGGCUCAACCCUGGAAUUGCCUUCAAUACUGGCGACCUUGAGUAUGGCAGAGGUGUGUGGAACUCCGAGUGUAGAGGUGAAAUUCGUAGAUAUUCGGAAGAACACCAGUGGCGAAGGCGACACACUGGGCCAUUACUGACGCUGAGGCGCGAAAGCGUGGGGAGCAAACGGG
rnacentral:rRNA from 1 species